rnacentral:rRNA from 1 species
AGCACCUAAACGGCGAAACUGCGAAUGGCUCAUUAAAUCAGUUAUCGUAUAUUUGAUAGUACCUACUACAUGGAUAACCGUGGUAAUUCUAGAGCUAAUACAUGCUUAAAAUCCCAACUUCGGAAGGGAUGUAUUUAUUAGAUUAAAAACCAAUGCCCUUCGGGGCUCACUGGUGAUUCAUAAUAACUUCACGAAUCGCAUGGCCUUGCGCCGGCGAUGGUUCAUUCAAAUUUCUGCCCUAUCAACUUUCGACGGCUGGGUCUUGGCCAGCCGUGGUUACAACGGGUAACGGAGGGUUAGGGCUUGACCCCGGAGAAGGAGCCUGAGAAACGGCUACUACAUCCAAGGAAGGCAGCAGGCGCGCAAAUUACCCAAUCCCGACUCGGGGAGGUAGUGACAAUAAAUACUGAUACAGGGCUCUUUUGGGUCUUGUAAUUGGAAUGAGUACAAUUUAAAUCCCUUAACGAGGAACAAUUGGAGGGCAAGUCUGGUGCCAGCAGCCGCGGUAAUUCCAGCUCCAAUAGCGUAUAUUAAAGUUGUUGCAGUUAAAAAGCUCGUAGUUGAACCUUGGGCCUGGCUGGCCGGUCUGCCUCACCGCAUGCACUGGUCCGGCCGGGCCUUUCCCUCUGGGGAGCCGCAUGCCCUUCACUGGGUGUGUCGGGGAACCAGGACUUUUACUGUGAAAAAAUUAGAGUGUUCAAAGCAGGCCUAUGCUCGAAUACAUUAGCAUGGAAUAAUAGAAUAGGACGUUGCGGUUCUAUUUUGUUGGUUUCUAGGACCGCCGUAAUGAUUAAUAGGGACAGUCGGGGGCAUCAGUAUUCAAUCGUCAGAGGUGAAAUUCUUGGAUCGAUUGAAGACUAACUACUGCGAAAGCAUUUGCCAAGGAUGUUUUCAUUAAUCAGGAACGAAAGUUAGGGGAUCGAAAACGAUCAGAUACCGUUGUAGUCUUAACCAUAAACUAUGCCGACUAGGGAUCGGGCGAUGUUAUUUCUUGACUCGCUCGGCACCUUACACGAAAGUAAAGUUUU